rfam:Pan troglodytes isolate Yerkes chimp pedigree #C0471 (Clint) chromosome 14, whole genome shotgun sequence.
GCUGGGCGUGGUGGCACACGCCUGUAAUCCAAGCACUUUGGGAGGCCGAGGUGGGCGGAUCACCUGAGGCCAGGAGUUUGAGACCAGCCUGGCCAACAUGGUGAAACCCUGCCUCUA